GACGAACGCUGGCGGCGUGCUUAACACAUGCAAGUCGAACGGAAAGGCCCUGCUUUUGUGGGGUGCUCGAGUGGCGAACGGGUGAGUAACACGUGAGUAACCUGCCCUUGACUUUGGGAUAACUUCAGGAAACUGGGGCUAAUAACGGAUAGGAGCUCCUGCUGCAUGGUGGGGGUUGGAAAGUUUCGGCGGUUGGGGAUGGACUCGCGGCUUAUCAGCUUGUUGGUGGGGUAGUGGCUUACCAAGGCUUUGACGGGUAGCCGGCCUGCGCGGGUGACCGGCCACAUUGGGACUGAGAUACGGCCCAGACUCCUACGGGAGGCAGCAGUGGGGAAUAUUGCACAAUGGGCGGAAGCCUGAUGCAGCAACGCCGCGUGCGGGAUGACGGCCUUCGGGUUGUAAACCGCUUUCGCCUGUGACGAAGCGUGAGUGACGGUAAUGGGUAAAGAAGCACCGGCUAACUACGUG
rnacentral:rRNA from 1 species